AUUCCUCAAUUAUUAUACAAUUGACAACUGCGAAUACAAUUAGGCCUAUCUGAAGCACUGGCCCUGGAGAUCACGCAUUUUAUCGCUCACUUUUAUAUUCCAUGAUAUCUCUCUCUUUCUCUUUCUUUCUCUCUCUCUGUCUCUCUCUCUCACACACACACAUACACAAUUAUUUUCCUUUCGUCUUGUCCCGUUUGGGGUCGCCACAGCGUGUCAUCUGUGAUGAACGCAUAUUUGUUUGACACAGUUUUACGCCUCAGUGAUGAACAUUUUCCGCCGAUCGGCGGAUUUCCGACUUUUUCAGACCAAAAUGACCAUUCUCGAGAUAAGCGCAGAUCCAUUGAGAAAAUUUGGGUGGUGGAAGGGGGGGGGGUCGUGCGCCUGCCUCUCGGUGGUGGGCUCCGAGUUACAAGUUCAGCUUCGUGCCAGCACAAGCACGACUAUCAUAUGCCGUUCUAACAUGCUCGGUAGUGUAAAUAUUACACAUUAAAACUUGUUUGCGGCAGAUUACUCGGUUGGACAACAGAGUUAUGCAGUAUAACGAUCCAAUCGUGUUAGUGGUUAAUCGAGUUUCGCCAUUGCCAUGUACGUGUUCUCGGUUGUCAGAAAUCGCAGUGUAACUUGUUAGUUAGCUAAGUAAUGGAGCGUGGGACUUAGAUAGCGCCAACUGAGCGACGGUGUGUUCAAAGUUUUACCAUGGCGAAAGUGUUAGAAAAAAAAAAGGAUGAAGACGAGCGAGGGCAAUCGACAAGGAUGCUGGAAUCCUGGAAUCAAAAACUGUUUCAGACGGGCAUGGCUUGAAAAAAGUUUAACCGUGCAGUCACCCCCCCUUCCCCAAUCGACAGACAUUUUCAGUCUUUUUCCAAACUGGUCAUUCUCAUCCCUGAAGACUGAACUGCGGGGGGUUCGAUCACGUUUUUGGUUUGACACCUCACACUGUACCUGUUUUCUGACUCGUGUGUGUUCCGUGGUUUUCUCAAAUGAGCGAUUUUCUCUCUCUAAACGUUGGUAAAUACGGCACGGCACUUUGGCGGAAACCUUCCUGCUUGAGCGGUUUACUGUCGAAACAUUGUAGGCGUCGCACAGUGUUAUGGUGUCGUUGACGCAUUAACGCUAAAUUGAACCAACAGUGCCAUCUGAGUCACGGCAAGUGUGUAAAUAGGUAUUUUGCUUUUUCCUAAAGUUUUGCCUCGGCGUUCAGCGUCACAAAUUUGUGAUUUCGUUCAAAAUAACGAAUCGUAUUUCAUGCCAAAAUCGCGCAAAGCAUUCUGGGGCUUAUGUAUUUAGAAUGUGACUCGACGAAUAGUACGUGAACACGUCCAAAUUCAUUUUGAUUGACAUGAACGUCUUUCUGUUCUCGUUUUGUUUUAAUUUUCUGGGAGACAUCGCUUCGUGAAGCUUGCACAAAGCUAAUUCCGUACACGCCCUCUAAGCGAAAACAGUAGUCUCGAUAUUGAGCUGCUCUCGUCGCACGGUGAGCUGGCAAGACUAUACUUUCAGGGAUCAUUUCUAUAGUUUUUGACUAGUGAAAUGUGUUUCUAAAGUGUUUGGUCGUGCCAACCACGAUGACGAGACGAGAUAUUCCUUUCUGAGCGUGAAGCUGGCGGGGAAAUUUGAUUCUUUCAUACGUUCUCCUCCAUUGAUGAACGUUCGUUACUUCCUUUCGGAGUACUGAUGGAAGGAAUAUGUUCAGAGUGGUUAGCAUCAUUUCAACGGAGCAAUGUCAAGCAGUGUUGAUUGUGGGUCAAUGGAAAAUAUCUCUCCUGAACUGCAAUUGCUUUCGCGAGCUUCUUCCAUUUAACAAGUAAAGGGGAGUCACGUAAUUGUCAGAGUAUUCGGAAGCUCAAUAUGCGGUUCAGCAAGGCUCAGCAAGGCAAGAAAACUCGAGAGAGUUCAGACUCCGUCUUUUCCAGUCAAUCCUGUCUCAUCUGAUGAGACUUAAUUGUAAAAAUGCGAUGUUUCCCAAUGGAGAAUCACACUAGUGCUAAAAAAAAAGUACUGGUUCAGCUUCUAUGGUACGGUACGUGUUCCAGUAUGACCAUAUGUAGUCCAUACAUAUAUAUCCAAAACACGGUGUGUUCGAGUUCGCUAUGUUUUUGGGUACGUGCAAAUGUCAAAGCGUUUGUGCGCGCAUUGUGGAAUGCAACGCCAAGGUUGGACAUGCGCAAAAGGUGGCAGUAGCGUUGUGAGAUGCGCAAGAGACCGGUGGAAACGGAAGUCCGGUCCGUGUGUCACAUUCGACGAGACGACCGUACUUCCGGUCAUGUUUGCGUUAUAUUCUCAAUCAAACAAUUCCUUUCUCUUAAAGCCGGUUUGGGUGGUGAGUACACGUCUUGGUAUCGAUGAGCGCACUUCCGAGAGAUGCUCUGGGGGUGCCGCUAUGCAUUGUGGGUAUCCAUUGCUGUCUCCAGCCAACCUCAAAUUAUGAAAUGAGAAGCAUGUUCACCCAAGAAUUUGCACCGUUGCACCGUUUGACCUCGCGUCCGUGCUCGGCCUCGCCUGUUUUGCGUGCGGUCGGUCACGUGCUCACGAUGACACCGUCGCUUGACACAGCGUGCGCGUGAAUGGGUUGCGUGCUCGCGCCGUACCAACUCAUACUUACCUGGCAGGGGAGAUACCAUGAUCAAGAAGGUGGUUCACCCAGGGUGAGGCUCAGCCAUUGCACUCCGGUUGUGCUGACCCCUGCGAAUUCCCCAAAUGUGGGAAUCUCGACUGCAUAAUUUCUGGUAGUGGGGGACUGCGUUCGCGCUCUCCCCUGAUCACGUGUCAAGAAAACUAUCGCCGAAACUCGAAUUUAAAGUAUCCUGAAAGGCGAGUUGGUGGAGUUCGAGUCGUACCCUUUCCAAAACCGAAGACCCAGUACGAAAAAUGCCUUCGAUGGGUCAAACUUUGUGGAAGACCGCAUGAUCAACUGAAUCCAUCUAAAAUCAACCGGAACAAAUGCUUGCACGAAGCGCACGUGGCGUGACGUCACUUCAGGAGGCGCGGUUAAGUGCCGUGUACGGCGGGGUCAAUUCGUGUCCCCAGUUUGCCAAAUGCAGCCAGACUUGUACAAGAGGGUCCUACAGAGAGGUCUCAACUAUUUCGAAAUGAUAUGUUCAUGGAAUCAAGAUUUUGGACAGGAGCAGGACGCAAUGUCAGAGUGCGGAAGCGGAAGGAUGCCGCCUGUCAAAAUGGCGAUCGAAGCGGAAGGAUGCCUGCCGCCUCUCAAAAUUCAUGUUGAAAUACAACAGGAUAAAAUUGUGGAAUCGUACUGCGCAUGUAAAGCGGGGUGAGUACUUUUUACCUGGAAGGAUUAUGAGUAAUAUCAUUGUCGUCUAUAAGUGAGUUAGGUUUGAUUUUUCUACAAAUGCAUUGAAACAACGGUGAUUAACUCAGUCAGUACCGUCGUCACCAGAUGAAAAAGUUUGACUUGGCUCGUAAUCGAACCCUGUGCUCUGUCUGAAAAAGUCUGACGUGAUACAAAUAGACGGUUCUCUUGCAUGACAUUGCGCAUUUACCUAUCACCAACCCGACUCGUCGGCAUAAAACAUUACACACGUCAUUCAGCAAGUCAGUGACACGCAAUGCAAUCAAACUCAAAGUCGAUACUUCUCCCUCGUACGGGAGGCCUUCAGCAAGCUUUAAUCUAAUCUAUCGGAGACACUUCGCCAACUGUGUUUUAGGCUUUGGAAGAUUAGUCACCCGGGCCCCUUGUAACCUAGCAGGAUAUACAUCUCGUCAGAAUUGCACGUUCCCCAAGGGCAUCAUCUGAGGACCAUUUUCUUCCUGACAUCAACUUUUCAAAACGCACGCUACCGACAAACAUUGUUGUUUGUGGGACAUGGCUGCGGGAGGGGCGGGACAAGCUCGGGGUUGGGACAAUGCGGCUAUCUGAUUGGCUGUUAUUGUACGUGUGAUUGACAUGUCGGAAAGGUCCAUUCUGAUGAAAGAGAUCCUGCUGGGUUGCAAGGGGCCCGGUUGAGUCAUACAACUAAGUGUGGACAGUAUCAACACACACAAGGCUGUAUCUCCAAUGGUAAGCGAGGGAGAGGUAUCUUCUCUGAGUUCGAUUUCAUUAUUAUCAGUGCUUUCUACAUUGCAUGAGAACAACUUUCACUUUGUUAGUGUAUCAGUGCGCUGCUGAAUGAAGUGUGUCAUGUUUUAUGCCGAAGAG